CCGUACCGCAAACCGACACAGGUAGAUGAGGAGAGAAUCCUAAGGUGAGCGAGAGAACUCUCGUUAAGGAACUCGGCAAAAUGACCCCGUAACUUCGGGAGAAGGGGUGCUCUAUUAGGGUGCAAGCCCGAGAGAGCCGCAGUGAAUAGGCCCAGGCGACUGUUUAGCAAAAACACAGGUCUCUGCAAAACCGUAAGGUGACGUAUAGGGGCUGACGCCUGCCCGGUGCUGGAAGGUUAAGAGGAGUGCUUAGCUUCGGCGAAGGUACGAAUUGAAGCCCCAGUAAACGGCGGCCGUAACUAUAACGGUCCUAAGGUAGCGAAAUUCCUUGUCGGGUAAGUUCCGACCCGCACGAAAGGCGCAACGAUCUGGGCACUGUCUCAACGAGAGACUCGGUGAAAUUAUAGUACCUGUGAAGAUGCAGGUUACCCGCGACAGGACGGAAAGACCCCGUGGAGCUUUACUGCAACCUGAUAUGGAAUGUUUGUACCGCUUGUACAGGAUA
rnacentral:rRNA from 1 species